AUUGAACGCUGGCGGCAGGCCUAACACAUGCAAGUCGAACGAGUGGCGGACGGGUGAGUAAUGUCUGGGAAACUGCCUGAUGGAGGGGGAUAACUCCUGGAAACGGUAGCUAAUACCGCAUAACAUCAGUUGGGCCCCGAUGGGAGUGGCUAGUUGGUGGGGUAACGGCUCACCAAGGCGACGAUCCCUAGCUGGGCUGAGAGGAUGACCAGGCAGACUGGAACUGGGAAACGGUCCAGACUCCGCAGGGAGGCAGCAGUGGGGAAUAUUGCACAAGGGGCGCAAGCCUGAUGCAGCCAUGCCGCGUGUAUGAAGAAGGCCUUCGAGUUGUAAAGUACUUUCAGCGGGGAGGCGUUACCCGCAGAAGAAGCACCGGCUAACUCCGUGCCAGCAGCCGCGGUAAUAC
rnacentral:rRNA from 1 species